CGAUCGCCUCGCAGUCUUGCACGGGGCUACGAAAUUGGUAUAAAUUCGGGGUCCCACCAUUCCAGCAGCAUCAGUACUUCUUCAGCUUCCUCCUGAACGAGCUACAUACACAAAAGUAUCAACAACUCUUUUCAACGAGUCUCAAAUUGUCCCCCUGUCUUUAAAUAAAUCCAAGAAUCUACUCAACAAAAUGCCUGGUGGAGUCAGAAUCAAUCCCCAAGUCGUCAAGGGACGCUGGUGGUUUCUGAAGGAUUCUGGAAAUACUCAGAAGCCUGCCAACCGUUUGGACCUCUUUACCGGAAAGACGACCGAGGUUAAGACGCCGGCUGGGGAUGCUUUUUCAAGCAAAUCCAACCCGAAUCCCAACGCGUCUGUUUGGGGGAACGGAAAAUCGUCCUGGUAGAGAGAGAUCUGAUGAGAGUCAUUCUAGCUCGACUGUGGUUUGUCAGCCUCCUCGAAGAUCAUCUGGUAGCGGUAUCGGUUCUGACACAUACGGCUUGGAUCAUGAGAUACGGAUUUAAUUGGUCAAGAAGAGUACGAAACGAUCAUAAAAAUAACUUUUCGAAUAAGUAAUGGCUUUGUUUUGUUCCUGUACACGUACGCAGUACAGAAUUUAUAAUGUAAUUUAUGCAAUAAUUUAACGAGUUACUUAUAUACUUACUACCAAGUUAAGAAUUAAUGUAUUUUUUUACGAUGGGAUAGGUCAUGCUCGAUCGCUUACUUUUUUUGCGAUCCUCGAGUAAUAAUCGUUUUUCUGAGGUAAUAUAAUGUACUUGUUUUGUUACAAAGAUAUCUCAUUUUGUACAUUUGAACAUUAGGAGCAACCAAUUUUUAUAGGUAUUAAGAGUAAUUACGCAUACUUAAAUAUACUAUUUUUAGGUUAUUAUACACACUUUGCUUAGAUAGUUGGAAGUUUGAUACUAAUAAAGUCGAGACGAAUAUUUACAUUGUAAAUUUAAAAA